UCCGUAGGUGGACAAUUAAGUCAGAGGUGAAAGUUUGCAGCUUAACUGUAAAAUUGCCUUUGAUACUGGUUGUCUUGAAUCAUUAUGAAGUGGUUAGAAUAUGUAGUGUAGCGGUGAAAUGCAUAGAUAUUACAUAGAAUACCAAUUGCGAAGGCAGAUCACUAAUAAUGUAUUGACACUGAUGGACGAAAGCGUGGGGAGCGAACAGGAUUAGAUACCCUGGUAGUCC
rnacentral:rRNA from 1 species